GCCGGUAUGGUGUAGUGGUUUGAGUGUUGGAUUACAAUUCCAGAGUCCAGGGUUCAAACCCCUACUUAGCCA